GUAACACGUGGGCAAUCUGCCCUGCACUCUGGGACAAGCCCUGGAAACGGGGUCUAAUACCGGAUACUGACCCUCGCAGGCAUCUGCGAGGUUCGAAAGCUCCGGCGGUGCAGGAUGAGCCCGCGGCCUAUCAGCUUGUUGGUGAGGUAAUGGCUCACCAAGGCGACGACGGGUAGCCGGCCUGAGAGGGCGACCGGCCACACUGGGACUGAGACACGGCCCAGACUCCUACGGGAGGCAGCAGUGGGGAAUAUUGCACAAUGGGCGAAAGCCUGAUGCAGCGACGCCGCGUGAGGGAUGACGGCCUUCGGGUUGUAAACCUCUUUCAGCAGGGAAGAAGCGAAAGUGACGGUACCUGCAGAAGAAGCGCCGGCUAACUACGUGCCAGCAGCCGCGGUAAUACGUAGGGCGCAAGCGUUGUCCGGAAUUAUUGGGCGUAAAGAGCUCGUAGGCGGCUUGUCACGUCGGUUGUGAAAGCCCGGGGCUUAACCCCGGGUCUGCAGUCGAUACGGGCAGGCUAGAGUUCGGUAGGGGAGAUCGGAAUUCCUGGUGUAGCGGUGAAAUGCGCAGAUAUCAGGAGGAACACCGGUGGCGAAGGCGGAUCUCUGGGCCGAUACUGACGCUGAGGAGCGAAAGCGUGGGGGAGCGAACAGGAUUAGAUACCCUGGUAGUCCACG
rnacentral:rRNA from 1 species